UUGUCAGAGAGUAGUGGAGUCGCGCAGCACCUGCCGCAGGGAGCGGAGCAGAAUCGUGGCCGUUGACACAGCCUGUCAGAGAGUAAUGGGUCCGCCGUAGGGGGUGAUGGAGCCGUGCGGAAUCCGCUACAGGAAGUGGAACAGGAUCAUGGUUGUUAUUGUGACCUGCCAGGGGGUGCGGAUCUGUUGAUUGAGGCUCGGCAGCGGUCGGAGUCCGGCCUCUGUAGAAGUCCAGGAGGGGUCCUCCUUGCGGUUGGGGUCGUGGGUGGAGUCCGACUCCCGUAGGAGUCCGACCGGAACUUACCAGCAGUUGAUACUGAGAGCGGAGCUCGGCUCCCGUA
rnacentral:lncRNA from 1 species